rnacentral:rRNA from 1 species
AAGCCUGAUGCAGCAACGCCGCGGGAGUGAUGAAGGCCUUCGGGUCGUAAAACUCUGUCCUCAAGGAAGAUAAUGACGGUACUUGAGGAGGAAGCCCCGGCUAACUACGUGCCAGCAGCCGCGGUAAUACGUAGGGGGCUAGCGUUAUCCGGAGUUACUGGGCGUAAAGGGUGCGUAGGCGGUCUUUCAAGUCAGGAGUGAAAGGCUACGGCUCAACCGUAGUAAGCUCUUGAAACUGGGAGACUUGAGUGCAGGAGAGGAGAGUGGAAUUCCUAGUGUAG